rnacentral:rRNA from 1 species
CAGUCGACGGUAACAGAGAUAGCUUGCUAUCUGCUGACGAGUGGCGAACGGGUGAGUAAUGCUUAGGAAUCUGCCCAGUAGUGGGGGAUAGCCCGGAGAAAUCCGGAUUAAUACCGCAUACGUCCUACGGGGGAAAGCAGGGGAUCUUCGGACCUUGCGCUAUUGGAUGAGCCUAAGUCAGAUUAGCUAGUUGGUGAGGUAAUGGCUCACCAAGGCGACGAUCUGUAGCUGGUCUGGGAGGACGAUCAGCCACACUGGAACUGAGACACGGUCCAGACUCCUACGGGAGGCAGCAGUGGGGAAUAUUGCACAAUGGGCGCAAGCCUGAUGCAGCAAUGCCGCGUGUGUGAAGAAGGCCUGCGGGUUGUAAAGCACUUUCAAUAAGGAAGAAAAGUAUGUUGCUAAUAUCAGCAUACCGUGACGUUACUUAUAGAAGAAGCACCGGCUAACUCCGUGCCAGCAGCCGCGGUAAUACGGAGGGUGCGAGCGUUAAUCGGAAUUACUGGGCGUAAAGCGUGCGUAGGUGGCAUGGUUAGUCGGAUGUGAAAGCCCUAGGCUCAACCUAGGAGUUGCAUUCGAUACUGCCAAGCUAGAGUAUAAUAGAGGAAAGUGGAAUUCCCGGUGUAGCGGUGAAAUGCGUAGAGAUCGGGAGGAACACCAGUGGCGAAGGCGGCUUUCUGGAUUAAUACUGACACUGAGGUACGAGAGCGUGGGGAGCAAACAGGAUUAGAUACCCUGGUAGUCCACGCCGUAAACGAUGUCAGCUAGCCGUUGGGCUCAUUUAUAAGGGCUUAGUGGCGCAGCUAACGCGUUAA